CCUACGUGUAGCUGCAGUGGGGAAUCUUCCGCAAUGGGCGAAAGCCUGACGGAGCAACGCCGCGUGAGUGAUGACGUCCUUCGGGUUGUAAAACUCUGUGAUCCGGGACGAAAAGGCAGAGUGCGAAGAACAAACUGCAUUGACGGUACCGGAAAAGCAAGCCACGGCUAACUACGUGCCAGCAGCCGCGGUAAUACGUAGGUGGCAAGCGUUGUCCGGAAUUAUUGGGCGUAAAGCGCGCGCAGGCGGCGUCCCAAGUCCCUCUUAAAAGUGCGGGGCUUAACCCCGUGAUGGGAAGGAAACGGGGAAGCUUGAGUAUCGGAGAGGAAAGGGGAAUUCCUAGUGUAGCGGUGAAAUGCGUAGAGAUUAGGAAGAACACCGGUGGCGCAGGCGACUUUCUGGACGAAAACUGACGCUGAGGCGCGAAAGCGUGGGGAGCAAACAGGAUUAGAUACCCCGGUAGUC
rnacentral:rRNA from 1 species